GAUGAACGCUGGCGGCGUGCCUAAUACAUGCAAGUAGAACGCAGUUGCGAACGGGUGAGUAACGCGUAGGUAACUGCCUGGUAGCGGGGGCUAACUAUUGGAAACGAUAGCUAAUACCGCAUACUACCAGAUGGACCUGCGUUGUAUUAGCUAUUUGGUUGUGUAACGGGCCACCAAGGCAACGAUACAUAGCCGACCUGAGAGGGUGAUCGGGCACACUGGGACGGAGACACGGCCCAGACUCCUACGGGAGGCAGCAGGAGGGAAUCUUCGGCAAUGGGGGGAACCCUGACCGAGCAACGCCGCGGUAGUGAAGAAGGUUUUCGGAUCGUAAAGCUCUGUCGUUAAGGAAGCGGUACUUAACCAGAAAGGGACGGCUAACUACGUGCCAGCAGCCGCGGUAAUAC
rnacentral:rRNA from 1 species